CCCUUAGAUGUUCUGGGCCGCACGCGCGCUACACUGAUGAAUGCAACGAGCUCUACCCUUGACCGAAAGGCCCGGGUAAACUUGUGAAACUUCAUCGUGAUGGGGAUAGAUUAUUGCAAUUAUUAAUCUUCAACGAGGAAUUCCUAGUAAGCGCGAGUCAUCAGCUCGCGUUGAUUACGUCCCUGCCCUUUGUACACACCGCCCGUCGCUCCUACCGAUUGAGUGGUCCGGUGAGGCUUUGGGAUCUGAGCGGAAAGAGCGUUUCGCUGUUUCUGCCCGGAAAACUCAGUCGAACCUUAUCAUUUAGAGGAAGGAGAAGUCGUAACA
rnacentral:rRNA from 1 species